rnacentral:misc_RNA from 1 species
UUUCCGUAGGUGAACCUGCGGAAGGAUCAUUACCGAGUGAGGGUCUCCGGGCCCGACCUCCAACCCUUUUGUGAACCACCUCGUUGCUUCGGGGGCGACCCUGCCUUUCGGCGCGGCGCCCCCGGAGGCUCAUCAAACCCUGCGUAACUAAGUCGUCGGAGUUUAAACAAAUUAAACAAAACUUUCAACAACGGAUCUCUUGGUUCGGGCAUCGAUGAAGAACGCAGC